UACAGAGGGUGCAAGCGUUAAUCGGAAUUACUGGGCGUAAAGCGUGCGUAGACGGUUAUUUAAGUCAGGUGUGAAAGCCCCGGGCUCAACCUGGGAAUUGCAUUUGAGACUGAAUAGCUAGGGUGCGGAAGAGGGGAGUGGAAUUCCAGGUGUAGCGGUGAAAUGCGUAGAGAUCUGGAGGAACACCCGUGGCGAAGGCGGCUCCCUGGUCCGGUUCUGACGCUGAGACGCGAAAGCGCGGGGAGCGAACGGG
rnacentral:rRNA from 1 species